AGGAAAUAGGGUUACACUUUUGAGAUUUCACGUUGCAGCUUCUUCCCCUUCUCUCUGUCAACGAACGUACGGCAGCUGACGCCCUCCUUCGACGGUGAAAUUUCGCCGUCCGCCACCACCGACACGUCACGUCCUCUCUCUUUUCCUCUCCGAUUCUCGUUCUCUCUGACUCUCGAUCUCUCGUUUAGCCUCUGUUCUCUUUAGAAUCUCAAGCUCACACAUCUCUAUUCGUUCUCACACGGCAUCCAAAGAACUCGCGCAAGAACGAUGGUUCAUCAUCUCAGAUUCACUCUCAAUCGAAUGCGUUUUCUAAUACAAACUAACGGAGCUUGUUCGGCGUGCCUUCAAUCGCGACGAGAACAGAUAGAAAACCAAAUCCUUCAGGUAAUCAUAUUCGAUAUUCUUCUUCCUCUUUUCGCGAUCUUCUCUCCUUCUUUUCUUCGUUUCUUCCUUGAAUCGUUGUCGCAGAUUGAAAGAUUGUUGAUGAUAAAGGUUGUUACGAUUGCGGUGAUGAAGGCGUGGUGUUGUUGAUUCGAUGCGAAGGUGAUGAUAGAUGAUGAAGGUGCUGAUUUCUCGAUGAAUUUGCAGUGAAUUCAGUGAUGGUUUGUUGAUGAAGAUCGAAGCCUGAAUUGAAUGGUUGAAGUUUGUUGCGGAUUUUUUUGUGUUGAUUUCUGGUUCUUUACAGGUUUUCUGUUAUGGGAGAGUGAUGAGGAUGAAGUGAUGGAGAAUGAAUGAAGGGAUCAAAGAAUGGUGAAGAUAUGUGAACAAUGGUGAAGAAGCAUAGUGAAGGCUCAGAAGAAAGUGGAGCGAGAGUGGUCCAGGAAGCAUAGAAAUUAGUUGAUUCAGUUACAUGGGCUGAUACUUGUGGGAGCUGCAAGUUGUGUACUGUAUUUGGAGUGGCAUGUAAUGUGCAUUGUUUAUAUAUAUGCAUCGGGCUCUUGAACUAAUGUAAUGCCAUUCGAACUGGUCUAAGAUGUGAAGAUGUUUGACCGCCUUGUGACAGAUUUUGGUUUACAUCUUUGUCUGUGAGUUAUGCCGGUAACUGUUG